rnacentral:rRNA from 1 species
GCGUGAAGAUGCUUACACAUGCAGUCGAUUCAAGUUACCUUCGGGUAAUGAGGAUGGCGGACGGGUGAGUAACGCGUAAGGAACUUGCCUCUUGGACUGGGACAACUGUUGGAAACGACAGCUAAUACCGGAUAUUAUGAGAUUCUCGCAUGAGAAACUUAUGAAAGCUAUAUGCGCCAAGAGAGAGCCUUGCGUUCCAUUAGCUAGUUGGUGGGGUAACGGCCCACCAAGGCGACGAUGGAUAGCCGGCCUGAGAGGGUGAACGGCCACAAGGGGACUGAGACACGGCCCUUACUCCUACGGGAGGCAGCAGUGGGGAAUAUUGGACAAUGGGCCACAAGCCUGAUCCAGCAAUUCUGUGUGCACGAUGAAGGUCUUCGGAUUGUAAAGUGCUUUCAGUUGGGAAGAAGAAAGUGACGGUACCAACAGAAGAAGCGACGGCUAAAUACGUGCCAGCAGCCGCGGUAAUACGUAUGUCGCAAGCGUUAUCCGGAUUUAUUGGGCGUAAAGCGCGUCUAGGCGGAAAAAUAAGUCUGAUGUUAAAAUGCGGGGCUCAACUCCGUAUUGCGUUGGAAACUGUUUUUCUAGAGUACUGGAGAGGUGGGCGGAACUACAAGUGUAGAGGUGAAAUUCGUAGAUAUUUGUAGGAAUGCCGAUGGAGAAGUCAGCUCACUGGACAGAUACUGACGCUAAAGCGCGAAAGCGUGGGGAGCAAACAGGAUUAGAUACCCUGGUAGUCCACGCCGUAAACGAUGAUCACUAGGUGUUGGGGGUCGAACCUCAGCGCCCAAGCUAACGCGAUAAGUGAUCCGCCUGGGGAGUACGCACGCAAGUGUGAAACUCAAAGGAAUUGACGGGGACCCGCACAAGCGGUGGAGCAUGUGGUUUAAUUCGACGCAACGCGAGAAACCUUACCAGCGUUUGACAUCCUAAGAAGUUUCCAGAGAUGGAUUCGUGCCGGCUUGCCGGAACUUAGUGACAGGUGGUGCAUGGCUGUCCUCAGCUCGUGUCGUGAGAUGUUGGGUUAAGUCCGCCAACGAGCGCAACCCCUAUUGGAAGGUUGCUACCAUUUAUUUUUAUA